UACGUAGGGUCCGAGCGUUGUCCGGAAUUACUGGGCGUAAAGAGCUCGUAGGCGGUCUGUCGCGUCGAUCGUGAAAACUUGGGGCUUAACCCUGAGCUUGCGGUCGAUACGGGCAUGACUGGAGUUCGGCAGGGGAGACUGGAAUUCCUGGUGUAGCGGUGAAAUGCGCAGAUAUCAGGAGGAACACCGGUGGCGAAGGCGGGUCUCUGGGCCGAUACUGACGCUGAGGAGCGAAAGCGUGGGGAGCAAACAGG
rnacentral:rRNA from 1 species